CGUAGGUAACCUGCCCAUGUGUCCGGGAUAACUGCUGGAAACGGUAGCUAAAACCGGAUAGGUAUACAGAGCGCAUGCUCAGUAUAUUAAAGCGCCCAUCAAGGCGUGAACAUGGAUGGACCUGCAGCGCAUUAGCUAGUUGGUGAGGUAACGGCCCACCAAGGCGAUGAUGCGUAGCCGGCCUGAGAGGGUAAACGGCCACAUUGGGACUGAGACACGGCCCAA
rnacentral:rRNA from 1 species